rnacentral:rRNA from 1 species
UGUGUCAGCCGCCGCGGUAAUACGUAGGGAGCGAGCGUUGUCCGGAAUUACUGGGCGUAAAGGGCGCGUAGGCGGAAUCUUAAGUCAGGUGUGAAAACUCUGGGCUCAACUCGGAGACUGCAUUUGAAACUGGGGUUCUUGAGGGCAGGAGAGGAAAGUGGAAUUCCUAGUGUAGCGGUGAAAUGCGUAGAUAUUAGGAGGAACACCAGUGGCGAAGGCGACUUUCUGGACUGCAUCUGACGCUGAGGCGCGAAAGCGUGGGGAGCAAACGGGAUUAGAUACCCCGGUAGUCCACGCUGUAAACGAUGGGUACUAGGUGUAGGAGGUAUCGACCCCUUCUGUGCCGCAGUUAACGCAAUAAGUACCCCGCCUGGGGAGUACGGCCGCAAGGUUGAAACUCAAAGGAAUUGACGGGGGCCCGCACA